rnacentral:rRNA from 1 species
CAAAUUUCUGCCCUAUCAACUUUCGAUGGUAGAGUAGUGGUCUACAUGGUUUCAACGGGUAACGGGGAAUUAGGGUUCUAUUCCGGAGAGGGAGCCUGAGAAACGGCUACCACAUCCAAGGAAGGCAGCAGGCGCGCAAAUUACCCAAUCCCGACACGGGGAGGUAGUGACAAUAAAUACUGAUACAGGGCUCUUUUGGGUCUUGUAAUUGGAAUGAGUACAAUUUAAAUCCCUUAACGAGGAACAAUUGGAGGGCAAGUCUGGUGCCAGCAGCCGCGGUAAUUCCAGCUCCAAUAGCGUAUAUUAAAGCUGUUGCAGUUAAAAAGCUCGUAGUUGAACCUUGGGCCUGGCUGGCCGGUCCGCCUCACCGCGUGCACUGGUCCGGCCGGGCCUUUCCUUCUGGGGAGCCGCAUGCCCUUCACUGGGUGUGUCGGGGAACCAGGACUUUUACUUUGAAAAAUUAGAGUGUUCAAAGCAGGCCUAUGCUCGGAAUACAUUAGCAUGGAAUAAUAGAGUAGGACGUGUGGUCU